rnacentral:lncRNA from 1 species
ACAUUUUGGGAGCGCUGCUUUCUCAAAUAGGCUACGUGGAGGAUUCCAAUGAGACGGAUCUCAACAAGAGGCUGCAAGGUGGGGAUGUACUUUCGGUGUUUUGGAAUGUCAGGGUAAUGCCACUGAAAAAUUGCAGGAGCAUCUGAAAAAUGGCAGCAGAGUUUCGCCAGAUUGGAAAGACUGGGUAUAUUGCAAAGGUUCUAUGGGAGCGAAGGUAGAGACUUUGAACACUAUGGUGAAAUGUUUGUCAAGCAUGAAUGUAUCUUUUAAUAGCAUUUUUGAAUAUCUUUCGUGCUCUGAAACAUAUUCUGAUUCAGUCGUGCACUACUUAUAUAAAGUAUCGCUAAACGAUAUGCUAAAUAAUAUGCUAAAUGGUGUCUACGUUCCUUAUCAGAUUGUUGCAAGGCAUGCAAAGCAUCAUAUAGGCAAUAUAACAACAAAUUAUGAGAUAUACAAGUAAUGAAAUGAUUUUUAUAGAUUUAUCAUUCAGAUGCAUUAAAUUAUUACUUAUGCAAUACAUUUCGUACUGUAGUAGUUAUUAAUUAUGAAUCUAUUUUGGUUUUACAGGUAUAUAAUUUCCGAAAAGACUAAGCUAUUCAGUAUCAUUAUUAAUCAUUCGCAUUCCGAUGAUGAAAUCAACAAGUUAAAGACAUGUGUGGAAAGCAUUUCAAAUAGAACAAGGACCGGGGAUAUGUCAAAGAUAUCGUAUGCUAUAGAGAAACGCUCGUUCAAUAUUUACUUUUGGAAAAACAAAUUAAAAUAGAAUCGAUGAAGUAAACAAACCUAGGAUUCGCAUUCGGUCGGCAAAAAAUAAAGACGGAGACAAGUGUGCACUUGUAUGGCUUCAUUAGAAGCAAUAUUCCGUUCGCGCAUACGCGCUCAAAUUUCACAUGUAUGAUAGUGUGAGUAAUAACUAAUUGCAAAGUAAUAACUAUUGUACAUAUUAUUAUUAUUAUACAUACAUGAAGCUGUAUUAGAUGUAUACAUAUACAUACACCUCGUGUAUUAUAUAUAUGUAUAUAUAUGUACAAUCUAGAGAUGUUUAGUUAUACUUGUUUUAUUACUAUUUUGCAAUGCUUUAUUAGUCAUAUUCUUCUAUUUAUUAUCUAUUUAUUUCUAUUUAUUUUUCAUACUUGAACAUUUGUUUCCGUUGCAUUAUUAUUUAUAUUCUUCUUACUAUUGCUCUUGUGUGUUGUUAUACUUUUAGUCUAAUAUUAUUCUUCUCUCAAUUGUUUACUUUUACGUACAUUUUAGAGCCCAAUUACUUUUGUUUUGUUCUCUGUGGUCUUAGACAUAUAAAAGAGAUAACCAAGGUCAUUUUAGAAAACAAUUUUUUAAAGAUUUCAUGUAUAUAUAUUUUGUUCUGAGAAUAUUUUUUUAAAGAAAAAACAUUAAAAUAUUAAAUUUGAGCCUAUUUUUCAAGACUUUUUGUAUUGAAUAACCGGUUUUCGAAAAUAAAGAACUUAUGACCAUCCAUCUUGCACCAAUCCUGUAUCAAGCACAUAUUAAAUUGUUUAGACAGAAUAGUUCAGUGCUUAAACCUGGAACAUAUGUUCUUAACCUUCAGUUUGAGAAGAAAAUAUGUUGUAGCCAUGUAUCCUGUUCAUAAAACAUAUUUAACAUUUUUCUGCAAAUCAGGAAGGUUUAUUUAGGGCUUUAAUCACAGUUAGGACAUAAUACAACAAGAAUAAAUAUUUGAAAUUUACGUGCUGUACUUUAUAAAAAUCUUUACUAAAAAUUUGAAGCUAAUAAAUUUUUGGUAAAAAAGAAAUGAUGACCUUUUUGUUAAACGUCUUGUUGGUAACAUAUUCCAUUUGUUGUAGACUACUACUCUCAACUGUCAAACAUGGUUUAUUUCUUUUCAAUUAAUUAUUAAGAUCGUACCCAAUACAUUAAAUAUACAUUAUUCAAAUAUUAUCUCUAUUUGUGAUACUGUAUAACUGAGGACAUUCUAUAAAAUUUAGCCAAAAGAAUCUAACUAUUUACACAACUUAUUUAUAAAAUACAAAAGCAAUAUUUUAGCCACACUUGAUCAUAUUCCAUUUAAUCGUUUACGAAAACGUUAGGGUUUAACGCACUUGUAUAUCGAUUUCAUUUAUUUCAUUUUUGCAUAUAGUAUAGAAUAAAAUAAUAUUCUUA